rnacentral:rRNA from 1 species
GUGGCAUACGGCUCAGUAACACGUAGUCAACAUGCCCAGGGGACGUGGAUAACCUCGGGAAACUGAGGAUAAACCGCGAUAGGUCAUAGUAUCUGGAAUGAUUUAUGGCUUAAAUCUAUAUGGCCUCUGGAUUGGACUGCGGCCGAUCAGGCUGUUGGUGAGGUAAUGGCCCACCAAACCUAAAACCGGUACGGGCUCUGAGAGGAGAAGCCCGGAGAUGGGCACUGAGACAAGGGCCCAGGCCCUAUGGGGCGCAGCAGGCGCGAAAACUCUGCAAUAAGCGAAAGCUUGACAGGGUUAUUCUGAGUGGUUUCCGCUAAGGAAAUCUUUUGGCACCUCUAAAAAUGGUGCAGAAUAAGGGGUGGGCAAGCCUGGUGUCAGCCGCCGCGGUAAUACCAGCACCCCGAGUGGUCGGGACGAUUAUUGGGCCUAAAGCAUCCGUAGCCGGUUCUACAAGUCUUCCGUUAAAUCCACCUGCUCAACAGAUGGGCUGCGGAGGAUACUAUAGAGCUAGGAGGCGGGAGAGGCAAGCGGUACUUAGUGGGUAGGGGUAAAAUCCGUUGAUCCAUUGAAGACCACCAGUGGCGAAGGCGGCUUGCCAGAACGCACUCGACGGUGAGGGAUGAAAGCUGGGGGAGCAAACCGGAUUAGAUACCCGGGUAGUCCCAGCUGUAAACGAUGCAGACU